UUUUUAAUUUCUGUCAUGGGGAAGAGUUUUUUGAAGAAUUUGGGUGAUGAGAAGCCUGCAACCGAGGAAAAAGAGGCAGCAUAUGGAAACAAGGAAAGCCCUGUUAAUGAAAGUGAAGAAAAGGAGCCUGAGGACAAGGAGAUGACACUGGAAGAAUAUGAGAAGGUGCUGGAAGAGAAAAGAAAAGUCCUGCAAGCACUCAAGACUCAAGUGAGAAAGGUGGAUGCAAAGGAGUUUGAAUCCAUGCAGCCACUUUCCCACAAGAAAGACAAUGAUGAGAUCUUUGCUAAAUUGGGAUCUGACAAGGAUAAGCGCAGAGAUGCUAUUGAGAAGGAGAAAUCAAAGAAGGUAAGCAACACAACAAUGAAAAUGACUCCCUUGCCAAGAAUUGCGACAGGAUCAAUGAGCAAGCUGAUUCUCCACCUCUGGUGGCUUCUCUGUCUUCGAUACCAGCAUGGAUUCAGGGUGAAGAGGAGCACAGCGGUGUAUCCAGCAAGUCGUCCUUUUCCUCCUCUGAUUCUCACCAUCGAUGGAAACGAUUUUGGGUAUUUCAUCUGUCAUCUAAAAGCAAUGAGGGCGAGUGAAGCAGCAAGCACCAUUGAAUGCCGAGUGGUGAACCCUUUGAAUGAGUGUCACGGUUUUGAUGCUGCUCCUUUUUCCAUGUUCCGCGUUCCUAACCUCGAUUAUGUGGUGCUUUUUUGGUGUUCAACACCGCAGCACAUUGAUUAUGGUGGUGAAUCACCCCCCAUGAGGUCAAUGUUAGUAGGUUUUGGUUGCUCAAAAGUUCCUUCUUAAUGAUAGUGUUUUUUUCUCUGCAAUUUUAGGGUGAGUCUAAUUCUUCCACUACAUUUUGUUCAACAUUUUUUCUCCUUUCGUUUCAUUUUGUAUUCUGCAUUGAGUGAAAUUAUGUUAUUAUUGAUGAAGGUUUGAUCUCUCAAGUUCUGAAAUUAUGUUUUGCUACUGAUGUUGUGGGUCUCUCUUGAGGUCCUAUUUUCAUCAGAUAAUGUUUGCCUGAAUAUAUCACGCCAUGGUUCAGCAAAAUUUUAUUUUAUAUAUUCAAUCUCCAAUACUCAGGACUAGGCUCCUCCACCUUCCUCCUUGCUUGCAAAAUCUGGCGGUGCCAAGAAGAAGGUUUGCGUUUCUCUCUUUUUUUUGGUUUCGUUUCUUUUUCUCCCCUUAAUGUAAUAUCUCUUGAUGGGAGUAAUCGGUUGGAUUUUUUUUAUUAUCCAUGAUGGGUGUCAGAGCUCACAUAAAAAAUUUGAUACCAAUCAUUUUCUACAAAGAAUAAAUUUUUGUUAUGAUUUAUGCAAUAUGAAAGAUGGGGUGUGUGGUAUAAAGGUCAUAUAUUUGUGCUAACCAUAGGUGGAGCAAGGGAUCGAAAAAGGAUCAAGCCAGCUAUGACAAGCUUCUCACUGAAGCACCCAAAUACAAACUCCUCACUCCUUCCAUUCUCUCUGAAGUCUGAUUGUUUAAGGAUGUCUCUUUUUCUCCCUGUCUUUUAGUUAGUUCUGAUAUAUAUUAUUCAUGUUGAUGAGGAAUCAUGUGUUGGUGUUGUU